GUCAGAGCACGUGAACCGCUCCGGGCACGUGCACGCUCUCCCCUUGACCUACCGGCUUGGUGUUUUUCCCCUUCCCGAAUUUCUUCCCCCCUUCCGGUGGCGAUCUGCCUCCGACGACCGGAACCACGUCGAGCGUUUGACCCUCUCCUCCUCCUACCCUCUGCGCUAGAUCGAAUCACUCUUACUGCCUGGAUCGGGCCUCCCGGAGUAGCGGAGGAGGGAGGAACGGGGGACCUUGUAGAGAGGGCUGGGCGCUUGCGGCGGGGGCGGAGGCAGAGCCGUGCUUGCCGGCUGCAGAUGCGAUUUGGUGUGGAGGUGAGGUGAAGCAUCUGGCUCAUUCGAGGUCCGGCCGAGGGCAGCGAUUUGGGGGACAGCAGUGCACAGUUGCAGAGCUUCGGUGAACACAAGUGACUCAGAAGAUCAAGUAAGAAGUCUCUCUGGUGGAGCAUGUACUAAACUGUUAACGGAAGGGUUCGAGGAGUAUGUUUGCCCGAGCUUGAAACCUGAUUUACUCAUAGCUCAGGAAGAACUGGUGAAGCCAUCCACGUGUGUUUGGAUAUUGAUUCCAUUAUAUUGCAGCACAGUCUGUAGUUCUGUUGGGUGAUGGAAAAAAUGACCUGGUAGAAUGAGAAGGAAUUAAAGAACUGUUUCAAUGAACAUCCUACAAGACCUUAAGCAUCUCAAGCACAUUAGCUUGCCGGCGAGGCUUAUCAUUUGCAAGUGCCUUCUCAUAGUGAUUGGCCUUAUUGUAUUGAGAGCAAUUAUCUCCCCUUUUCUUGCCAUCAGCUCUUCCGAGAAGAGUUUUUAUGACUCACCAACCCUUGACUUGUUCCCUGGAGUUAGGAAAGGCAAGUUUGUUGAGGUCCCGCAGAUUAUAUGGGGAUUGAACAAUCAGAAAAUUGCAUUUGCCAGAGCAUGCUUGACGGCAAAAUUCAUGAACCGUUCUCUACUCAUGCCAAGUCUGAGUGCUUCGCUUUUCUACAAAGAGGUUGACUUGCUGCAGCCUAUUGCUUUCGACAAGGUAUUUGACCUUAAUAAGUUCAAUGCCCGCUGUCAUGGGUUUGUAAGGGUGGCUCGGUAUUCAGAAGUUUCAAAUCGUACCGAGCCUUUCAAACUUCAAAAGGGCAGUGGUAGGAGGUGGACAGUGGAGAGAGAUUUGGAUCAACUGCAACAAUCCAGAUUGGGGGAGGCCGAUGGCUUUGAAGUGAUUCAUGUCACUGGGAAGCAUCCAUUUCUGUGGCCUGAUCAUUGGCCAGUGAAAGACUAUGCCAGGAUCUUCGAUUGCCUUGCUGUAGCUCCUGAGAUAGAAACUGAAGUUGUCAGGGUCAUAUCCAAGAUUAAAGAUGCAGGGAAAAAAGCAAGACAUGAUGCUGCCGUUUCUCAUAAUAAGAAGAGGAUAGAUGGUUUGAAAAAUCUUCCUGUGCAGUACAUUGCUGUUCACAUGAGAAUAGAGAAAGAUUGGAUGAUUCAUUGCAAGAAGUGGGAGCAGCGGUCCAAUUUAAAGGAAAUUUGCAGCAGCAAAGGAGAGAUCAUUCAUAAGGUCUCACAGAUCACUGACCUACGUCGCCCGGUUGUAGUUUACCUUGCAGUAGCCGACAGCCUUCUAGAAGAUGAUUCAGUAACCAGUGGUUGGAGAGUUGGUAUGGUUGCUUAUGAGAAGAAGAAACUUGGAGUUACUGACAUAUACGAGAAACAGCCUUACCUUAUAAAGUCUGCCAUCGACUUUGAGACUCACAAGAACAAAGGCAUUAUGGAAGAAAAGGACUGCCCCGUCGAAUCCUUCAAACACGAGGAUGACAAGAAAAGCACACCACCAGAAAUAGCAGUUGCUGAUGAACCGUUCCCAUUCUUCGGCCUGCUUUGCUACGCCGAUGCGCUAGAUUGGCUGCUCAUGGUAUCAGGGACAAUUGGGUCCUUCGUACACGGCAUGGCACCUGCAAUGUCAUAUUACAUACUUGGCAAAGCUGUCGAUAUGUUUGGGGACAACAUAGGCAAUCGGGAGGCAAUUGUCCAUCAACUUACUAAGUUACUUCCAUAUAUGUGGUCCUUGGCAAUUAUUACACUUCCUGCUGGAAUGAUUGGAAUUACAUGUUGGAUGUACACAAGUCAGAGACAAAUGACACACAUGCAGAUGGCAUAUCUGGGAUCAGUACUCAGUCAAGAUGUCGGAGCUUUUGACACCGACUUAACCACCGCGAACAUCAUGGCCGGAACAACUAAUCACAUGAGCGUCAUAAAAGAUGCAAUUGGAGAGAAGAUGGGUCACUUUAUUUCUAAUUUCUCCACAUUCCUAGUCGCUGUCAUUGUUGCUUUUGUGUGCUGCUGGGAGGUGGGUAUGCUCUCUGUGUUAGUUGUUCCGAUGCUUCUUGUGGUUGGAGCAACAUAUGCUAAAACAAUGAUUGGCAUGUCGAUGACAAGGACAGCUUUGGUCUCUGAAACAACCACUGUUGUGGAACAGACUCUUUCACAUAUCAAGACUGUCUUCUCAUUUGUUGGAGAAAACUCGGCGAUGAAAUCCUUUGUGAAAUGCAUGGACAAGCAAUACAAGUUAAGCAAGAAAGAGGCAUUCAUAAAAGGACUAGGUUUGGGAAUAUAUCUCUCAAAUGCAGCUCCAGACCUUCAGAUCUUCAGUCAAGCAAAAGCUGCUGGUAAAGAAGUGUUUAAGGUUAUCAAAAGAAAUCCAGUGAUAAGUUCUGGAUCAAAUGGAAGAAUAUUGGAGAAGGUCAUUGGUGACAUUGAAAUACGAGAGGUGCAUUUCACAUAUCCAUCCCGUGAAGAUAACCCAAUUCUCCAAGGUUUCUCACUGGCUGUACCGGCAGGCAAAAUUGUGGCUCUUGUCGGGAGUAGUGGAUGUGGGAAGAGCACUGUGAUUUCUUUGGUUCAGAGGUUCUACGACGCUAUGUCAGAGGUCACUGAAGCAGCAAAAACAGCUAAUGUGCACACCUUUAUUUCCAAACUUCCAAACCAAUACUCAACUGAGGUAGGAGAAAGAGGUGUGCAACUAUCAGGAGGCCAGAAACAGAGAAUAGCGAUCGCAAGGGCUAUUCUAAAAAAUCCUCCAAUUCUUCUGCUUGAUGAAGCCACAAGUGCUCUUGAUUCAGAAUCCGAGAAGCUAGUUCAGGAUGCUCUUGACAGAGCUAUGCAAGGGAGAACUGUCAUCUUGAUUGCCCACAGAAUAUCAACAAUUAUAAACGCGGACAAGAUUGUUGUUGUGGAGAAUGGAAGAGUAGCUCAUUCUGGAACUCAUAGAGAAUUGCUGGAGAAAAGUGCAUUCUACUCGAGUGUAUGUAACAUGCAGAAUCUGGAGAAGGAAUCUGGCCAGAGUAGAGACAGUAACAUCUUUCAGCACUAUAUUUAUGGCCUGGUCGGUGAAAGGGCGAUGAAUAACCUAAGGGAGGCCCUCUUUUCAGUCGUUCUUCGGAGCGAAGUAGGUUGGUUCGAAGAACCCGGGAACAGCGUCGGCUUCCUGACCGCACGUGUUGUCAGCGACACCUCAAUGAUCAAAACGGUUAUAUCCGACCGGAUGUCCGUCAUCGUUCAGUGCAUCUCUUCCAUCCUGAUAGCAACGGUGUUAAGCACAGCAGUGAACUGGAGGAUGGCUCUAGCCGUAUAUGCUAUGAUGCCAUGCCACCUAAUCGCCGGCCUCGUACAAGUCAGGUCAGCGAAAGGCUUUGCCACUGACAAUUCCACUUCCCACCAGAAGCUCAUCUCGCUCACCUCAGAGGCCGUCAGCAACAUCCGCACCGUGGCGUCUUUCGUUCAGGAAGAGGAGAUACUCAGGAAAGCGGACUUGGCACUUCAAGAACCGAUGCAGACUAUCAGGAUGGAGAUCAUCAAGUACGGGGCGUUGCAGGGGGCUGCCCUCUGCCUAUGGCACAUGACGCACGCCAUCCAGUUGAGCUGCAGCAUUGCGCUGAUUGGCAAUGGACUGGCAACGUUUGAAAACUGUGUACGGUCAUACCAGACGUUCGCGCUGACGGUGCCUUCCAUCACGGAGCUAUGGACCUUGAUCCCUAUGGUCAUGUCGGCGCUCGCGGUACUGGACCCUGCGCUCGACAUUCUUGACAGAGAAACAACGAUUGUGCCGGAUGUACCAAAAGUGUCUCAUGAUGAAGAAGACAGAAUUGUGGGUGGCGUCGCGUUUGAAGGCGUCAGCUUCAGCUAUCCCUCCAGAGCAAAGGUGGCCAUUCUGGAUGGCUUCAGUCUCGCCAUUGAGCCAGGCCAGAGGGUCGCCUUGGUCGGCCCGAGCGGCGCCGGGAAGUCCACGGUGUUCGCGCUCCUGCUAAGGUUCUACGAGCCUAGCCAAGGAAGAGUGCUCGUGGACGGUAAGGACAUCAGGGGCUACAACCUGAAGUGGCUGAGGAGGCAGAUAGGGCUGGUCCAGCAGGAGCCGAUCCUGUUCAACCUGUCCAUCAGGGAGAACAUCAGCUACGGCAACGAAGGCGCGUCGGAGGCGGAGAUAGUGCAGGCCGCGACGGAGGCCAACAUCCACGAGUUCAUCAGCGGCCUGUCGGCGGGGUAUGGCACCGUGGUCGGGGACAAAGGGAGCCAGCUUUCCGGGGGGCAGAAGCAGAGGAUCGCCAUCGCCAGGACCAUUCUGAAGAAGCCUGCCAUACUGCUGCUGGACGAGGCGACCAGCGCCCUGGACGGCGAGUCCGAGAGGGUGGUGAUGAGCUCCCUGGCCGCGAAGGGGUGGGGGAAGAGCAGUAUCGGCGAGGUGUCGUCGAGCACGACCACGAGCAUCACGAUCGCGCACCGGCUGUCCACGGUGGCGAACGCGGAUGUGAUCGUCGUGAUGGAGAAAGGUGCGGUGGUCGAGAUGGGCAGCCAUGAGGCGCUGGUCUCUGUGAGCAAUGGUGUUUACUCGCGGAUGUACCGUGUGCACGUCAAAGGGGCGAAGGACUGAGUUUCUUUGCAUGGGUUUCUGAUAUGGCUGCAGCAUUAUUAGAAAUUAAAGCAUCGAAAAUUCUAGACUAACGGACUAAUACAGGGUUUUACGGGUUUUACUCUGUGUUAUUAUAACAAUUUAAGCAUCAUUUGCUAAGUUUAGGUCUUAUCUUGGUGGGGAAACUUGCAGCCCUGUGCACUGGAUAAGCUAACUGUCACUUACAGCCGUGUUUCCCUGCAUUGUGUCAUUGUGUGGGGAAACGUUUACAAACGGUGCACCGGCCGAAGCUUCGGCCUGUCCCGCGCACGCCGCUCGAUCGCGUAGCGAUCCAGCGCUCCCGCACCUCCCGAUCCACGUUUGCAUGUUGGUUUUCUUUUCUUGGCCCAUCACGUGGUCUUGGCCCACCACGUUUACUCGGUCAGCUCUAUUUUCACCAACCGCUCAAUCUGUGGGGUGGGAAAAAGAGCUAUAAUUGCAGACGGACGAAGUUGCAUCCGUUUCUUGUUGCAACGACGACGAUUUUUGCUACCACUAUCGUUGUCUUUUGCUAUGACCAGCGUGUUUAUUUGCUACAUCCAUUUUUAAUGGUGAUGAUUGGUGGCCGGCGUUCGUGCAGAUGACUGGGACAACGAUUUUUGCUGCAACUGUCGUUGGAUUUUGCUACAACUGACGAAGAAAUUUGCGACAUCAAUUCAUGGCAGAGAUGCACCCGGGACAACAAUGACGAUGAUUUUUGGUUGCAAAUGUCGUUGUCUUCUGCUACCACCAGCGAGUUUUUGCUACAUCUAUCUUAAUGGUGAUGAUUGGUGGCCAUCACCCGUGCAACCCUGUGCAGCGAACGUCGACGGUGGAAAAAAGCUUCAACCAUCGAUUUCUUGCCCAAAUGAAAAAAGCUGCAACCGUUUACAUGAAAGCU
rnacentral:rRNA from 1 species